rnacentral:rRNA from 1 species
UAUAUAAGGAGGUAAGGCCUGCUCACUGAAUUUUGAAGAGCCGCAGUAUCCUGACUGUGCUAAGGUAGCAUAAUAAUUUGUCUCUUAAUUGGGGACUAGAAUGAAUGGUCUAACGAGAAAUUAACUUUUUUAGGAAUAAUAAUUAAACUUAAUUUUUUAGUGAAAAAGCUAAAAUAAGAUAAAAAGACGAGAAGACCCUAUAGAGUUUUAUAUAUAAACUAUUUAUAUUUUAAUAACUUUUUAGAAUUGUAAAUAAAGACUAUAUUUUGUUGGGGCGACAUUUAGAUAAAAAAAACUUUUUAUAUUAAAAACUCAAAUUUGAGUAUUUACUGAUCCUUAAAAAAGAUUAAAAGUAUAAAUUACCUUAGGGAUAACAGCGUAAUCUCCCUUGAGAGCUCAAAUCGACAGGGAGGUUUGCGACCUCGAUGUUGGACUAAAAUUAAACUAAGGUGCAGAAGUCUUAGAUUUAGGUCUGUUCGACCUAUAGAUUUUU